UGAUAGCUCAGUUGGUAGAGUAGAGGACUGUAGUAUGAAAUUAUAUAUAUCUGUGAUCCUAUGAUCAGUGGUUCAAAUCCGUUUCA
rnacentral:tRNA from 1 species